AUUGAACGCUGGCGGCAGGCCUAACACAUGCAAGUCGAGCGGAUGAAGGGAGCUUGCUCCUGGAUUCAGCGGCGGACGGGUGAGUAAUGCCUAGGAAUCUGCCUGGUAGUGGGGGAUAACGUCCGGAAACGGGCGCUAAUACCGCAUACGUCCUGAGGGCGAAAGGGGGGGAUCUUCGGACCUCACGCUAUCAGAUGAGCCUAGGUCGGAUUAGCUAGUUGGUGGGGUAAAGGCCUACCAAGGCGACGAUCCGUAACUGGUCUGAGAGGAUGAUCAGUCACACUGGAACUGAGACACGGUCCAGACUCCUACGGGAGGCAGCAGUGGGGAAUAUUGGACAAUGGGCGAAAGCCUGAUCCAGCCAUGCCGCGUGUGUGAAGAAGGUCUUCGGAUUGUAAAGCACUUUAAGUUGGGAGGAAGGGCAGUAAGUUAAUACCUUGCUGUUUUGACGUUACCAACAGAAUAAGCACCGGCUAACUUCGUG
rnacentral:rRNA from 1 species